AGCUUCCUUGUUGAGAAGCUACUGCACCUCAUCAAUUUAGGUGAUACUUUUGUCUCACCGCCACCCUAGGAAGAUUUAUUUGCUACCGAUCCGCAUUUCCACGAAGUCCAGUCACCAGAAGACUGGCGAGUGGUUGUCAUGCACCACAUCUGAGUUUCUGCUGCUACCUCACUUCCUAGCGCGUGGAGGCGCAUCUGAUGUAGGCACAUCAUAUAGUCACUUAAGAUUAAUAUUUAGUGCAUUUUGUUCAUGUUUAGUAAUUUAUUUAUUUAUUUAUUUUCUAGGUAUUUUUGGUCAUUUUCUAGGAUAUGUAUUAGUUUGGUCCAAUCCCUUGGUUUUUGAAUCUUAUCAGGUAUGUUUAAGUAGUCUAGGAAGGUAAGGAUGCGAUCGGAAUGGAGUCCGAGGCUUAAAAUCAAGCUUUGGAGGGCAUUGAAGAAUGCAUAGAACGUGCAAACAGUUGCACAGACCAUGCAAAGCCAAACCUGGAGCCAUUAAAAUUACACAAGCUAUGCAACUACCUGUGCCAGAAGAACUUGAGGAAAUGCAAGGCAGCAAGUUAUAUGGUCUAACCCUUCCACAUUAAAGAAGUUACACGGGCCAUGUAAUCCUCGAAGAUAGAAUCCCAAACUCGACCUCACACAUUUCCUAGCUGUUCUUGGAGGUUUUCUAAGGCUACUAGGACUCUAAAACAAGAGUUUUUCAUCAGAUAUAAAUACAAGAAGUCAGAGUUUUAUCGGGGAUGGGCCUUUUCACUUUGAAGAGAGCAAAUUAACUUUGAGAGAAGUAAGAGAAGAGAGGGAUUUGCAAGAUUGCUAGAAGGAGUUCCAACUAAAGUUCCAAGAAUCCAAGACUGCAAUUUUCCAUUUGAGUUCUUUAGUUCUAUUCCUUUUCAUGUCUUUUCUUUCUUAUUUCAUGAACUUGAUUGUAAAAAUCACCAUGAAUAAGUAGUUUUCUUAUUUUAUGAUUCAAAUUUCCCCAAUAAAUUAGGAUUCUUGUUCUCUGAUUCAAUAUCUGUAUUUUUAAUGCAUGCUUUGUGUUGGUAGAUACCUAGUGUUGAUUUAAGAUGUCAAUUGAAGAACUGAAAGAUGAAAAUUGGUAUCGGAAUAAAUAGGAUUUUGAACUUAGAAUUCUUGAUCUAUAAAUAGUCUGAAAUUUUAUGAGGAUCUAUUAAUUAGCCAAGAACUUAAUGGAUUUUAAUUAAUUUAAAUAGGGUAAAUUUUAAUAACCGUCCUUGAACUUAUAUAGAUUGUAGAGUGUGAUAGAGAGUAGUUGGCCCAAGUACCCUAGAGAGGGUAUAACUUCCACUGUAGAAAUCAUAAGUAAUCAGAUCAUGAUAGAUAUAAAGCCUUUGAAUUUAAUAACAGGUUUGGAUACCUAAUAUUUUAAGUUUUGGCUUUUUAAGUGGAAGUGAGAAAAAUAGAAUUCCUACAGAUCCCUUCCUCGAGGUGGUAGUGGGUAGUAUGUAGUCUAAAGGACAGAAACAGAGAUUACAUAGUGAAUGCAUUGCUACUAUUCCCUAAGUUUCUCCUUAGCUUCUUAUUGCUCAAGACAAGAGUAUAAUUUAAGUAAAAGAAAGGAUAAGGUCAAAAGUUAGCAUAGAUAAAUCAUAGAAUAUGUAUAUAUAUAGAAGUGCAAAAGGAAAAGAUAAAAUAGUUGGAUCAAAUGCAACAGGAUAGAUAACCUGAAUGCCAAUAGAAGUACUAGCUAGAGUUGUUAGAGGACCAAUUCUGAGUAACAUCAAAGUGUUGAUGAGUUGAUAGAGACAGUGAAGGGAUAUAAGUUUAUGAAGUUUUCUGCUGUUCUUGACUUACAGAUUAAUGAUGGCAUAGGUUUGAUACAUGUUUUGGACAACAUGACAUUGAAGGUUGAAGGUUCAGAUUGG
rnacentral:misc_RNA from 1 species